rnacentral:rRNA from 1 species
CCAUUCGUGGGGGAUAGCCCGGCGAAAGCCGGAUUAAUACCGCAUGACGCCCGAGGAGGGAAGUGGGGGACUCGAAAGGGCCUCACGCGGAUGGGUUGGCCGAUGUCCGAUUAGCUAGUUGGCGGGGUAAGAGCCCACCAAGGCGAUGAUCGGUAGCUGGUCUGAGAGGAUGAUCAGCCACACUGGGACUGAGACACGGCCCAG